GGUAGCUUGGCCGAGGGGUUAAGGCGCCAGAUUUAAGUAAAUGCCUAGUUCUAGCGUAAACGCGCGGAGCCUGGAAUACCAUUGAAAUCUCUGGUCUCGAAAGAGUCGUGCGUUCGAAUCGCACAGCUACCA